GGGGCCGACCUGGUUUCGACGUGGGUACGGAGUUGGAGUAGGGCAUGCCGAGCACCAGUUCGCUCGUAAAUCCACUGGAACAAACCAACUGCGAACGAUCAAAAGUUCCAACUCGCCGCUUAAACACCGGUGAGCCUCGCAACAGUCGGCCCAUGGGCUGGGGUGGCAACACCUGCGAGGUUAUUUACAUGGGCUGGUCUUGAGUCGUGUCACAUGGCUUGAGACGAGAUCUAGUGACUGGCGUCUUCGGUAGCGUGCUCCUGCGCGACCGGGACGUGAGAACCAAAUCAGAGAGCUAAGCAUGUAGAACUGCCCGAUGAAGGCUUACGGACGCGGGUUCAAUUCCCGCCGGCUCCACCA
rnacentral:tmRNA from 1 species